GGCCGCCGUUGCAUGCUGUCCGUGUGGUGUGACGGUCGUGUGCCGCCUCAGACAGAGAAUUCCAGAGGCUGCUCCUGAGAGCCAAGAAUGUCCACACUGAAAGUAAACGUUUUCCAGAAAUUGAAGAGGAUGAGAGGCCUGAGGUCUGAUGCUCACUUCGGGGGAAAGCAGAGCAGCCUCAUGGCGGUCCUGGCCGUGUGGCGUUCAGCUACAAUGUGAGACGCUCCUUAAAUGCUUUACAACUAAUCUGCAGUUAAUCUAGAUACUCAUGCAGUCGUGCAGAACAGAAAAGAUUCAGAGCAUAAAUGUAAACGAUAAAUAAUCAGAUAGAGCUGACUAUCAGAGGCUGGAAUCCUCUAACAGACAAUUGGCCAUUUCAUUUUCUGUUUUCUAUUGGAAGUCAUUUAGACGUGUUCAAUGCCCUUGGAGAAGAGAAUAAGAACAUCCUAUUGUUGCAGAGAUUAGCAAUAAGAAAAAAUCACUGUGAAAGAGAGAGGAAUUCACAUCCAUCUCACAGUGCCACCUUGCCAUACACUCUGCACCGUCCAGUUUACAAAGAGCUUCCACGUGUCUCAUCUGGUGUCCACUGUGACCCUUAGUGGUCAGCGGGACUGUUAUGGAUCCAACUUUGCAACCAGGAAGGUGACGUGAAGUGUCCAAGACAACACACCAAGAACCCAGGCAGGAAAAGAUGGCGCUGUAUGCGGAAUGCUGUUGGUAAACUGGGGAUCUCAGAGGCUGCGCUUCCGCAAGAUUUAAACAACGACUCAUCAAAAAUGCACCAGAGUCUAAGCCCUUGACGCUUCUUUGGGGCUCAGCUGUCUCUUCAGAGUCAGACGCAAAAAUCAAUGACACACAUCCUUGAGGAAAUGAAAGCCAAAACACUUCAAGCUGCACCAAGGGAAGAUCUUCCAGACGCGUCCCUCGGAGUGAGGCUGAUGGUGAGCGUUCUUUAGUGAGCUGCGCAGCCCCAGUGCAACGUAAGUAAACGUAACCUAGAGGCUGGUGACAGGAGAUUCUGCUCCUCUCUGGCCCUCCGCCCUCCCUCCCUUCUCUGUUGUUACUCAAUGGCUUCUAUAACUCCUAUCAGCUUACAAGGCCUGUCAGUGCAGGCGUCACUUCCAGCACCAUUAACUUGGUGCCCUUUGGGUGGGCCCGUGUCUGAGUUGGCGGUCUCUCGUACAUGCAGAAGAGUUGUGAAGAAAGGAUAAAAUUUCCAAAGGGUAAGUGCCGUUGUGCUGUGGACUGAAUUGUCUCUCCAUCGAGUUCACAUGUUGAAGCCGCUGGUCCCCAGUGAGAUGGCAACUGGAGACGGGACCUUGGGGAGGUCACUGGGUCCAGAUGAGGCCACGAAGGUAGAGCCUUUCUUGAUGGGACUAGCGCCCUUGUAAAAAGAGACGCC
rnacentral:lncRNA from 1 species